rnacentral:rRNA from 1 species
UACGGAAGGCAGCAGUGGGGAAUAUUGCACAAUGGGCGAAAGCCUGAUGCAGCUAUGCCGCGUGUAUGAAGAAGGCCUUAGGGUUGUAAAGUACUUUUCAUCGGGGAGGAAAAACAAAACUAAUAAUUUUAUUUCUUGACGUUACCCGAAAAAGAAGCACCGGCUAACUCCGUGCCAGCAGCCGCGGUAAUACGGAGGGUGCUAGCGUUAAUCAGAAUUACUGGGCGUAAAGAGCACGUAGGUGGUUUUUUUAAGUCAGAUGUGAAAUCCCUGGGCUUAACCUAGGAACUGCAUUUUGAAACUGAAAUACUAGAGUAUCGUAGAGGGAGGUAGAAUUCUAGGUGUAGCGGUGAAAUGCGUAGAUAUCUGGAGGAAUACCUGUGGCGAAAGCGGCCUCCUAAACGAAUACUGACACUGAGGUGCGAAAGCGUGGGGAGCAAACAGGGAUUAGAUACC